GUAUCUUUCAAGUGUCUGCCCUAUCAACUUUCGAUGGUAAGCGACUUGCCUACCAUGGUUGUAACGGGUAACGGGGAAUUAGGGUUCGAUUCCGGAGAGGGAGCAUGAGAAAUGGCUACCACAUCUACGGAAGGCAGCAGGCGCGCAAAUUACCCACUCCUAGCACGGGGAGGUAGUGACGAAAAAUAACAAUACCGGACUCUUAGAGGCUCGGUAAUUGAAAUGAGUACAGUUUAAAACCCUUAACGAGGAUCUAUUGGAGGGCAAGUCUGGUGCCAGCAGCCGCGGUAAUUCCAGCUCCAAUAGCGUAUAUUAAAGUUGUUGCAGUUAAAAAGCUCGUAGUUGGAUCUCGGGCACCAGCAUGUGGUACGCUUAAUUGCUGUUACUAUAUGUCUGGUCCUAAUUCGCCGGUUGCCUGUUGAUGCCCUUUACUGGGUGUCUUCAGUAGCCGGCACGUUUACUUUGAGAAAAUUAGAGUGCUUAAAGCAGGCCUUGUGCCUGAAUACUGUUGCAUGGAAUAAUAGAAUAGGACCUCGGUUCUAUUUUGUUGGUUUUGUAGAGCAUUGAGGUAAUGAUUAAUAGGGACAGACGGGGGCAUUUGUACUGCGGUGUUAGAGGUGAAAUUCUUGGAUCGCCGCAGGACAAACAACUGCGAAAGCAUUUGCCAAGAAUGUCUUCAUUAAUCAAGAACGAAAGUUGGAGGUUCGAAGACGAUUAGAUACCGUCCUAGUUCCAACCAUAAAUGAUGCCAAUUUGGAAUCAGCCUUAGUUAAUUAAACGACUAGGCUGGCACCAUCCGGGAAACCAAAAUGUUUGGGUUCCGGGGGAAGUAUGGUUGCAAAGCUGAAACUUAAAGGAAUUGACGGAAGGGCACCACCAGGAGUGGAGCCUGCGGCUUAAUUUGACCCAACACGGGAAAUCUCAUCCGGCCCGGACACAGUAAGGAUUGACAGAUUGAUAGCUCUUUCUUGAUUCGGUGGGUGGUGGUGCAUGGCCGUUCUUAGUUGGUGGAGCGAUUUGUCUGGUUAAUUCCGAUAACGAACGAGACUCUAGCCUGCUAAAUAGUACGCCGAUCUCUAGUCGGCGCGUACUUCUUAGAGGGACAAGUGGCGGUUAGCCACACGAAAUUGAGCAAUAACAGGUCUGUGAUGCCCUUAGAUGUUCGGAGCCGCACGCGCGCUACACUGAAGGGAUUAACGUGUUUUUCCUGCUCCGAAAGGAGUGGGUAAUCCGUUGAAACCCCUUCGUGAUUGGGAUCGGGGCUUGCAAUUAUUCUCCGUGAACGAGGAAUUCCCAGUAAGCGCGAGUCAUCAGCUCGCGUUGAUUACGUCCCUGCCCUUUGUACACACCGCCCGUCGCUACUACCGAUUG
rnacentral:rRNA from 1 species